AUACGAACCGGACAAACGUUAUUCGGAAUUAUUGGGCUUAAAGGGUGCGUAGGCGGCGCGGUAAGUGAGGUGUGAAAGCCCACGGCUCAACCGUGGAAUUGCGCUUCAUACUGCCGUGCUAGAGGGAGACAGAGGUAAGCGGAACUGAUGGUGGAGCGGUGAAAUGCGUUGAUAUUAUCAGGAACACCGGUGGCGAAGGCGGCUUACUGGGUCUCUUCUGACGCUGAGGCACGAAAGCUAGGGUAGCGAACGGGAUUAGAAACCCCAGUAGUCC
rnacentral:rRNA from 1 species